UAUCAGAUCCAUGUAAUUGUUUAUAACAUUAACAUUUAUCUAAAAUCAUUUUCCACAAAUUAUGCUAACACUGGAAAAACUAGCCAUCAUUUUCACAAACCAAAUUUUAUAUCAAUGGUCAUCAACACGAUGUUCCAGUAAUUCUUUUAACUACUCCUACUUUUUCAUAGACUUAAGAAAAUUACACUUUGUUCAAUGCUUUUGCAACAUUAUUAAAUGCUAGUAUUUCUGCAAUUUUAAUUGUAUGUAUUGAGUACUAAACUUGAAAUACCAGACAUGUAUAUUGCUACGACCGCUACUGGACUAUAAACCAUAGAAAAAGUUUGUUUAGCAAACUCACGAUACACAUGGCAAUCUUAUUUAGCGAAGAUCUCUGGUUGUGCGGUAUUGUUAAGUGAACCACUAAUUCGAUUUCAAUUAUCCAAGUGUUUUCCAUAAGAAGAAUUAGUAAUAAUAAUCUACUAGUGAAAUUCAAAAGCGAGAUCGAAGGUUUAUGGUACAUUACUUGGUUCUCCAAUAUACCACGGUGUAUAAUAUGACAAUCUAUAACAUUGCCAAUAUUAUAUUUCAUUCAUCAGCAGUACUUGGC